AUGGACAGGCUUACUUCCUCAUUCCUGCUGCUGCUUGUCCCUGCAUAUGUCUUGUCCCAGGUUACUCUGAAAGAGUCUGGUCCUGGGAUGUUACAGCCCUCCAAGACCCUAAGCCUGACUUGCUCUUUCUCUGGGUUUUCACUGAGCACUUCUGGUAUGGUUGUGAGCUGGAUUCGUCAGCCUUCAGGGAAGAGUCUCGAGUGGCUGGCAGCCAUUGAUUGGGAUGGUGAUAAGUACUACAACCCAUCUCUGAAAAGCAGGCUCACAGUCUCCAAGGACACCUCCAACACCCAAGUAUUCCUCAAGAUCACCAGUGUGGACACUGCAGAUACUGCCACAUACUACUGUGCUCGGAGACCACACUGA